CCCCCUCCCCGCCCGGCCCUGGAGGAGGGCGGACCGAGGCACCUCCCCCGAGUGCGGGUUGCUCGCCAGUGCCCGCAGACCGGCUCUUGCGCCCCGCCCGCGGCCGCCUCCCGGCCUCGCCGGCUCACCCUAGCUUGACUCUCCUCUCGGGCAGCGGAGAGGGGGCGAGGAGGAGGAGCCGUGGAGCAGGGAGGGGAGAAAGGUGAAUCCUUGUGUCUGCACCUGGAUGGCAUUCAGGCAGACUUUGAGUCCUUAUUGAGAUCGCCCAGCCCGUGAGUGACAUCAGGAAUGAAACUUGAACAGAAAGUGUUGCGCACUUCUCACCGCACCAAGCUCUGGCCCAUGGAAGGCCUGAGGCCAAAAGAGAGACUUAUUUCAUGGGCCGCUUGGUCUCCUGCCUCAGAGUCCCUAGCUCACACUUGGAACCCCCCACGGAGACGCUGUUGGCUGGAGUGCUCCCUGGCGCGAGGCUGGAGCUGAGUGCUCGGGAGCACAGAAGGGAAAAGAACUCCUACAGUUCGACGACAACAAGAACAAACAAACAUUUAAAAGUGGGCAAAGGACCUGCAUAGACAUUUCACACACAGAAAAAUCCAUCGAUAAGUGCGGGGAAAGGUGCUCAACAUCACUAAUCAUCAGGGAAAUGCAGAUCAAAACCACAACGAAAUACCACUUCAUACCCAUUGGGAUGGCUAUUAUCAAAGAAUCCAGAACAUAACCAGUAUUGGUGAGGAUGUGGAGAAAUGGAGUCCCUCUGCAUUGCUUGCUGAUGAGAUUGUGAAAGGGUGCGGCCGCUCAAGCAAUGGUAUGGCCAUUCCUCAGAAAAUUAAACAGGGUCUCCAUGUGAUCCAGCAAUUCUGCAUUUAAGUAUAUAUCCCAAAGAAUUGAAAGCAGGGACUCAAACAGAUAUCGUUGUACUUGCGUGUUCCUGGCAGCGUUCAUUAUUCACGGCAGCCAAAAGGUGGAACCAACCCAAUGGAUGGUUCAAUGGGCAGAUGAACAAAAUGUGACAGAUUCGUUCAAGAGAGUGCUAUUCAGCCUUAUAGAGGAACAUGUUACACCGUGGAUGAGCCUUGAAACCCCUAUGUUAAGUGAAAUCAGCCAGUCACAGAGGACAAAUAUUGAAUGUUCCACUUUUAUGAGGUACCUAGAAUAGCCAAACUUGUAAAGACAUGAGUAGAGUGGUGGUUGCUGUGGUGGGGGGCCGGGGGUGGUGAGGAGUUAGUGUUUAAUGGGGACAGAGUGUCAUUUUGGGAAGAUACAAAGUUCUGGAGGUGGGUGGCGGUGGUCGCACAGUAACGUGAAUGCACUUAAUGCCACUGAACAGUACUUAGCAGUUAAAAUGGUGCAAAUUUAUGUCAUGUAUA